rnacentral:rRNA from 1 species
UCCAUUGCGGGGCGAAGCCUGACCGCCUGCCGCGUGUGUGAAGAAGGUCUUCGGAUUGUAAAGCACUUUAAGUUGGGAGAAAGGGCAUUAACCUAAUACGUUAGUGUUUUGACGUUACCGACAGAAUAAGCACCGGCUAACUCUGUGCCAGCAGCCGCGGUAAUACAGAGGGUGCAAGCGUUAAUCGGAAUUACUGGGCGUAAAGCGUGCGCAGGCGGUUAUGUAAGACAGUUGUGAAAUCCCCGGGCUCAACCUGGGAAUUGCAUCUGUGACUGCAUAGCUAGAGUACGGUAGAGGGGGAUGGAAUUCCGCGUGUAGCAGUGAAGUGGGUAGAUAUGCGGAGGAACACCGAUGGCGAAGGCAAUCCCCUGGACCUGUACUGACGCUCAUGCACGAAAG